CGCUGCUGCAGGAAUCAAAGCCACUAAACUAAAGCCUGGAUGAGUUUCUCUGAUCCAAGACUUUAGUCUCUGGUCCUGAAAUGUUCUGCAGCUGCUAGAAGAACCACCGUGGAACCGGAUUCUCACUGAUCCAGGAGGCUGAAACUGAUUCAUCAGCAGGAAGCCAUGCAGCAUCCUGACAGGAAGUGAUGCGGAGUGACAGGAAGUGAUGUAGCAGCAGCAACCACAUGGACACACAUGGAGACCAGCCUGACGCUCCGGCAGAACCAACAGAACCAGAACCAACAGAACCAGAACCAUUGGCGUUGUCUAAACCAGCAUGUCUCCUCCACUAGUCCAGAGAACAGCUCAGGUCCAUUAGCUGGUUUCAUUCCUGGAUGACCAGGAAUGAAACUUUGCUGUAGAGUAGAGCUCAUCCAGACUGACCAGAACCAGCUCCAGCUCCAUCUGGACCCAUUUGGCCUGGUUCCCUCCGCUGCACCACGCCUCAGAGGUUCUGUCAGAACCCAGUAGAACCUCACAUUACCUUUAUAUUUCUCUCUGACGUUCUCGUAGGCCCGGACAAAGUCCUGCUCCUCCGGCUGGUGCUGACCCACUUCAGGUAUCGGCAGGGACAUGACCCGGCUGGGUCUGGACCGGGUCAGGAUUCUCUUGCCUCAAACUUUCCUGUUUCAGAACCAGUCGACCCGUUUCUCCUCAGUGCUGUUAAACCCCCAGCUGUCGGCUCCUCACACACACACAGAUAUACCCCCCCCCCCCCCCCCCCCCCCCCACCCCCACACACACACACACACACACACACACACCCUGCCACAGCCUCACUCCCCCUGCCCGCUCUUAAAGGCACAGCGCCCAAAACACAGAGACACGACCAGCUGGCAGAAACCAGAGGCGGAGCAGCAAGGGGUUUUUCUACAUCCUGUUUCCAGUAGAACCCGGCCUAGCAGAUCCUGGCCCAAAUGGACCCCAGUGAUGGAGCAGAACCUCCAGCUGGUCCUUGAACAGACCCAGAUCCAUGGACUCCAUACUGCGUGAGAAUGAAACCGGGCCAGAACCAGAACCUGACACCAGACGAGACAAACUCCUUCAGCUGAUUUAAAACUUUCUUCCAGAUCGUUGGGAGGUUCUGGUUUCUUCUUCUUCUGCAGCAGACGUUGUGAAGCGUCAGAGGAGCCUGGGGGUCCAAUCCCAGCUGAACAGAACCAGUCUCUGAUUGUCUGGUAGUCCGGUAGACUCAGUUCUGCUGUCGUUCUCUUUCUCUCUGCUCUGAGUCUGUUCCCCUCCCGGCCUGUGGGGGCGCUGCCCCAAGAACCACUGAAGGAAACGACACAAAAUCCUCUGAACCCAGAACCAGCACCUUUCUGACAGCACUCCACCACUGCGGGUCAACGCGAUGGUGGAGUGUGUGACGGCAGCAUCACAUUAUUUGCUGCAGACGGUGAAACUUGUCCCACGGUAACAGCCAGAGGGUUUCCUGUAGCUCUGGGCUCACAAAUAAAAUAAUUUAGACAUAGAACUGAGAUAAAUGCAGUAAAACCUGGAGAACGGAUCAGAACCACGACAGGGUACGGUAAAGUCCAGGUUCUGUGACCUGUUUAGACUGACUGACGGUUCUGAUGGACCGGAUGGCCGAGGUCCGAACAGAACCGGGUCAGUCUCUGCCAACAGAAUAACAGCAGCCUCCGCUAUGUGGAGAAACUGGCAGGGUUCAACAUUCCCAUCAGGAAUGUGGGAAAUAUUUCAGCAUGGAGCGAUCUGAUUGGCUGAGGAGGAGCAGCUGGGGUUACAGUUGCCUUGGCAACCAGUGAAUCAUGAGGUGAGAAGUUUCCCAAAUCUUCCAGAUUUAGUUGUGAUUUACCUGACAACUAAAACUUCAAUGUUGUUUGCUAAGGUUUUAUGUGAUUAGCUUUAGCGCAUGCUAAGGUUUUAUGUGAUUAGCUUUAGCACAUGCUAAGAUUUUAUGUGAUUAGCUUUAACACAUGCUAAGGUUUUAUGUGAUUAGCUUUAGCGCAUGCUAAUGUUUUAUGUGAUUAGCUUUAGCACAUGCUAAGAUUUUAUGUGAUUAGCUUAAGCACAUGCUAAGGUUUUAUGUGAUUAGCUUUAGCGCAUGCUAAUGUUUUAUGUGAUUAGCUUUAGCACAUGCUAAUGUUUUAUGUGAUUAGCUUUAGCACAUGCUAAGGUUUUAUGUGAUUAGGGUUAGCACAGGCUAAGGUUUUAUGUGAUUAGCUUUAUCACAUGCUAAGGUUUUAUGUGAUUAGGGCUAGCACAUGCUAAGGUUUUAUGUGAUUAGCUUAAGCACAUGCUAAGGUUUUAUGUGAUUAACAUUAUCGAAUGCUAAGGUUUUAUGUGAUUAACAUUAGUGAAUGCUAAGGUUUUAUGUGAUUAGCGUUAGCACAAACUAUGGUUUUUGUGAUUAGCGUUAGCUUCUACUCAGUUUUUAUAGCUGAAGCUAUCAGCAUAAGAUAAGAUUAUUGUUUAGAGCAUUAGUAGUGAACCUAGUUAGCUGUGGCUAAUAGCUAACUAUUAGCUAACUACCACAUGAUUGUAUUCUCCAUUACACUCAUGUCGGCCAUAUUGAAAGUUGGGAAACACAUGGUUAAAGUAUGAAGGCUAGAAAUAGAAUCCCCAGUUUGGAUUUUCAUGUAAAUCAAAGUUUAAAUAUUUUUAAAAAAAAUAAAAGGAAAGAAUGAAAAUAGUUAAUGUUUUCAUUCCCUAAAAAGCCCAGUAGAACCAGAACCCAGCAGAACGGUUGUUCACCUGGUGCGGAGUAGAACUGGCCUCGCUCCAAAAGGACUGAACCAAAUCAAAUUCUGGGUUGGGAAUGUUUCAUUUUGCUGUGAAAUAAAAACAGAAACCGCUGCGCAGAUAGAGGUCAAAGGUCAGAGGAGCCUCUGAGUCUCUCUAGGCUUCCUCCUGGACCGGACUGGACCAGAGACGGCUUCCCUCUGGUCCAGUCCGGUUCCCCCACUAAUUAAACCCGACCAGAAUCGUUCUGUCCUCUGCAGGAAGAAAGGAGGAGCCUGCCGGACCUGCAAGCUGAUGGGCUGGAGGUUCUGGUUCUGACCAGAUUCACCUCCACAUGCUGACCCCUGGUGGCCGUCCUGAUUACUGCAGCGAGGUUCCUCCUUUCUGUCCAGAACUUCAGCAGAGCAAACUGGGUCGCACUCAGCUGUUACACAACUCCCACAGAGCUUGUUUGUGUAGCACUGGGCCAUUGUUAGUCUCCCAGUGAGCACUGGGAGCUGAACUGGGAGGGGGCAUGAAACCAGUGGCUGAUUCAGUCCAACAAUGUUCAGCUCCACCGGUCCAAACGGAUUCACUGCAGAGCAACGGAACCAAAGACCGGAUCUGCUGGACUGAAGCUACAACCGCUCAGGCAUUUUACUUUGUUAUUUAGAAACUAAAUCAAACAUUUUACUUUGUUAUUUUUUAUUUUUUUAGGUGAAACUGACAGAAAAACAGACAAAAGCUAAAUACUUCCAACAAAGCUGAAACUGAUUUUGUCAGGAUAAAAACAUCUAAUUUAAAUAAAGAAAUAAAACUAAAUUUUAGUAUUUGUGUGUUUCAUCCGGAGCUCUGAGGUUCUGAGCGAUUCUGGUUCUGUUUCACCUGAAACCAGUCAGUCUGAGGUGGCUGCAGCUUUCACUGAGGAGUGGAGGAAAACGUGAGCAGAAAUCAGAGAGGCGUCCGUAACCCAACGGGUCAGAACCGGUCCUGCAGAAACAACCCGGCCCGCUGGUUCCGGACUGAAACUGAACCACAUGCAGAUCCAACAACCUGACCUGAAGCAUGACCCCAGGGCCCACUGAAAAAUUCAAGAUGGCCGCCAUUUUUCACAAUGAUUCUCAAGGUGUCAACUUAAUAUUUUGCAUUAAAACCUCCAAUUAGAUGAGAGUGUCACAGCGUUCAUGUUUUGAACCAUAGAAAUCAUAUUUUAUUGUUCUGGUGGACAUUUUUAAAAUGGCCGCCUCGGUUGUCAUGGAGAAAAUAAUGUUUGCACUAAAAUCUGCAUCAGUUAUUAGCUACAGCUAAC